GGGGAGUUGGCGUGCGGUUGGGGACCGCAGACCCGCGGACAUCGGCGGACGUCUCUCCGGUGCGGACUGACGGAAACAUGGCUGCCAAUUCGCACCAAGAACCUCUCUGCAUGACCAUUUAUAUACCAGUGUGGGCGGCACUGGAGGCAAGAAACUUGCUGUCGUUGUUCAUAGAAAGACUGGAAACAUCUAGAAGUGGCCGACUGGACAGCAAAGUGUUCUGCACUGUGAUUGGUGGAUUUGGGCGACUGCGAGCAGGUGAAUGAUUGCCAGCAAGAGAGCCUCGUUAAGCGUUUAGAACCAGCACAUGCUCGUCAAAAGCGUGACAGACCUCUACUAGUUUUU